UACGGGGGGGCAAGCGUUGUUCGGAAUUACUGGGCGUAAAGGGCUCGUAGGCGGCCAACUAAGUCAGACGUGAAAUCCCCAGGCUCAACCUGGGAACUGCGUCUGAUACUGGAUGGCUUGAAUCCGGGAGAGGGAUGCAGAAUUCCAGGUGUAGCGGUGAAAUGCGCAGAUAUCGGGAGGAACACCGGUGGCGAAGGCGGUUCUCUGGGCCUUACCUGACGCUGAGGAGCGAAAGCGUGGGGAGCGAACAGG
rnacentral:rRNA from 1 species